UUUGGACUGUUACUCCGGUAAAGGUGGUUC
rnacentral:piRNA from 1 species